UUGGAUUUGAAAAUAUCGGAUUUGUGCCGUUCACACUGUCAUACCAUGAUCGGAUAUGGGUCGCAUGGGGUCAAAGAAGUCGGAUUUGAUGCGCUUUCGCCUGCAGUGUGAACGUAGCCUUAGAUUAAAGAUAGUCGAGGAUAUUAGCGGUGACGAGGUUUAAAAAAAUAGAGCCGUCAUUAAAUAUUCAACUACACAAUCAAAUAAAGACACUUCAUUAUGAGAAAGGGGACAGAAUGCAAAGCUGGGUUUACAACAAUUACAUCUUCAGAUGCUAAUCCUGGGAUGGUAAUGGGAACGAUCUCACCUGGAAUAAGGUAUACUGUGUGCCAAACUCAGCUCUGUGGAGCAGCUGCUGCUCACCUGCUUUAGACUAGUCAUAGUGCGAGAGGCGGGGCACACCCGGACAGGUCACCAGUCUGUCGCAGGGCUGAGAGGCGGGGUACCAUAAUAACAAGCCAUAAUUAGUGAACAUGAGUGGACUGAUAUCAGCUGAACAACUGAAGGUAAAUGGGGCUGUUUGAUUGUCUGUUUUUCUUUUUUGAAAUCAUUUAUCUGAAUUUCAGGAGUGGGACUACACCUCAUACAUUUCCCCUCUGGUUCCACAGUUGUACGGUUUUCUUGCACAUUUCCUUUUUCACGGUCGCCAGCCCACACAACCAUUCUCAGUUCUCACCUCUCAAUAGUACCUGGGGAUCUGCUUGGCCCAGAACAUGCUGCCUGUUCUCCCUGAGGCCUUCCCCGGUCCACAGACUCAGGUCUAGAUCUGAGGCCUUCCCCGGUUCACAGGCUCAGGUCUAGAUCUGAGGCCUUCAACGGUCCACAGACUCAGGUCUAGAUCUGAGGCCUUCCCCGGUCCACAGGCUCAGGUCUAGAUCUGAGGCCUUCCCCGGUCCGCAGACUCAGGUCUAGAUCUGAGGCCUUCCCCGGUCCGCAGACUCAGGUCUAGAUCUGAGGCCUUCCCCGGUCCGCAGACUCCGGUCUAGAUCUGAGGCCUUCCCCGGUCCGCAGACUCCGGUCUAGAUCUGAGGCCUUCCCCGGUCCGCAGACUCCGGUCUAGAUCUGAGGCCUUCCCCGGUCCGCAGACUCCGGUCUAGAUCUGAGGCCUUCCCCGGUCCGCAGACUCCGGUCUAGAUCUGAGGCCUUCCCCGGUCCACAGACUCAGGUCUAGAUCUGAGGCCUUCCCCGGUCCACAGACUCAAGUCUAGAUCUGAGGCCUUCCCCGGUCCACAGACUCAGGUCUAGAGCUAUCUUUAUUCCAUCUGCCACUCUCUUUCAAAAACCACUGUCAAUCUAAUAAAGCAUGUGGUUCAUGCAGCAUUAAUUUGAUGUUAUAGUUUGUGAUUCACAAGUUAAUCAGAGUGUUGAACGUCCACAGCGUAAUUAAUUUCUGAUUUUUCCAACAUGGAGGUUUGUAAGUCUUUAAGAAGAUGUGUUUAUAUCGACAGACUGGCUACCUGUCCAGAGUAAAAGUAUUUCCAGUUCUUCUCACUGCAUAGUUCUUUCUCAGACAAUAGAACAGAAUAUAAUGCAGACACUAACUUCAGUACUCAAACUGUGGUGUGACCUGUCCUUACACUACAGCUGAAUCAGACAAUGGGAAAAACCUGAAACAGCAGUCACGACAGACUGAAUUAGAUGCUUUAUCUUUGACUGGUAAUAUCUAAUAACAGAUUGUUUCACAGUGUUCAUGUAUGAAGAAUAAGCUUUAAUCAUAAUGUCUUUCAUAACGUUGCUUAUUUGCUGUAUUCAUUUGUUAGAGUAUGUUAAAUCAGGUCUGGCCUUUGAUACUUACAGAAAAUAAAUAUACAGUAUUUUAUUGUUUGGUGCUGAUUAGCUACAAAUGUACUACAAUAUAACUGAUUAUAACUGUUUUAAGAAACGUCUUGAUGCAUGCUCAAUCAUCCAGGUAAGUAAAUCUCCAAAAGUUGAUUCUGUUCCUCUGGACGUUUUCAGUGGGAGAAACGUUUCGUCACUCAUCCAAGUGACUUCUUCAGUCUCAGUUGACUGCAGGUUUCCCCAAUCUUAUAAAGUGUAAGAGUGACGAAACGUUUCUCCCACUGAAAACGUCCAGAUGAACAGAAUCAACUUUUGGAGGUGUUUUAAGAAACCUUGUAAUAAGUUAAAUGGUUGAACUCUGCUUGUUGUGUUGUGGAUUUAAAAUAUCAUAUUUGCUUUUAAAACUAAUAUACUGUAUGUACAUGUGCCAAA